rnacentral:misc_RNA from 1 species
AAAAGAUUGACAAAUAAAAAAAAUUAAUUUAAAAAAAUUUCAAAUUAUUUAAACAAAAGUUAUAUUUUUAUUUUAAUUAAAAUUCGAAAUUAAAAAGGAAGAACAAGUUCCAAUUCCCAAAUUGCGAUUCUACCAAACUCUUGGUCAAUACCCAUCAUCGCCACCUUCGGCGAAAAUGUCCUUCAUAUCCAACGCCACAAUGACAUUCUCUGCAUCAAGUCAUAUUCAUUGCACAU